rnacentral:lncRNA from 1 species
ACCAGGAGGAAGAAGAAAACAGACUUCAUUGACAAGGAAAAGUAAACAUUGCAUCUUGGCAAAAAUGCAGUUUAAAUAUUUAGAAUAUUGUGAUUCAUUGUUCAAUUAAGCACCAGUCUCAAAUUUUAGGACAGUCGAUGGAUGAUGAAGAGGAGAGGAGAGAAAAGUGCUUGUUUCCCUAGAGGUCUCAGUCUUAUUGCUCCUUCGGAAGAGAAGAGAUAUAGCUUAUACAGACUAAAAUUUGGGGACGAUGACAUGGAGGGUUUGUGCAAAGGCCAGAAACUGUGACAAAUUAUCCAAUUCCACAAAACCGAAGCUAGUCCACCGUCCUCUCUUCAAUCGAAGGUACAAUUCAUCUAUAACGUGUUCGCAUUGUGUGUUUCAUGUAGAGAAAGAAACUAAUAUGUGGUAAAUGUGCUGCAGUUAUUUUCCGUUUCUUCUUGUUUCUGCAGCAAUAAAAGGAGAGAGAGAGUUAAACA